rnacentral:rRNA from 1 species
GACGAACGCUGGCGGCGUGCCUAAUACAUGCAAGUCGAGCGCAGGAAGCUGACGGAACUCUUCGGAGGGAAGGCAGUGGAAUGAGCGGCGGACGGGUGAGUAACACGUAAGGAACCUGCCUCAAGGAUUGGGAUAACUCCGAGAAAUCGGAGCUAAUACCGGAUAGUUCAACGGACCGCAUGGUCCGCUGAUGAAAGGCGCUCCGGCGUCACCUUGAGAUGGCCUUGCGGUGCAUUAGCUAGUUGGUGGGGUAACGGCCCACCAAGGCGACGAUGCAUAGCCGACCUGAGAGGGUGAUCGGCCACACUGGGACUGAGACACGGCCCAGACUCCUACGGGAGGCAGCAGUGGGGAAUCUUCCACAAUGGACGAAAGUCUGAUGGAGCAACGCCGCGUGAGUGAUGAAGGUUUUCGGAUCGUAAAACUCUGUUGUAAGGGAAGAACACGUACGAGAGGGAAUGCUCGUACCUUGACGGUACCUUACGAGAAAGCCACGGCUAACUACGUGCCAGCAGCCGCCGUAAGAC